rnacentral:rRNA from 1 species
AUGAACAUUGCCAGGCAGUGGCCAACGAUUACCUCCAACCGCGCCCUGUCUCCAAUGCCCCAGACGACUCGCCAAGAAGGCCACCUCCUUGAAGAAGCAGAACACAAGGAGGAGGAGGAUCAUCAAGAUCCCCACGGUGGUCCACCAGAAGAUCUCGAAACCCUUCACAGCCUUCUCCAUGACGUAAUCGUUGGCGGAUAUUUUUUUUUUUGGCUGUGGAGGCGGAGGGAUCGAGGAGGAAGCUGCAGCAGGCUCGUGGCACUGCUGCAGUUGUGGAGGCGGAGAGCUAGAUGGAGGAGGGUCGUGGGGGGCUCUAUAUUCGCCCGUUCGGGUGGUUAUAUCCCACAGCGAACGGUAGCUCGAAGUUGA